GACGAACGCUGGCGGCGUGCCUAAUACAUGCAAGUCGAGCAGACGAUUCGAAGGCUUGCUUUUGAAUCGUUAGCGGCGGACGGGUGAGUAACACGUGGGCAACCUGCCCUGUAGACGGGGAUAACACCGAGAAAUCGGUGCUAAUACCGGAUAACACGAAAUGUCGCAUGACGUUUCGUUGAAAGGCGGCGCAAGCUGCCGCUACAGGAUGGGCCCGCGGCGCAUUAGCUAGUUGGUGAGGUAACGGCUCACCAAGGCGACGAUGCGUAGCCGACCUGAGAGGGUGAUCGGCCACACUGGGACUGAGACACGGCCCAGACUCCUACGGGAGGCAGCAGUAGGGAAUCUUCCGCAAUGGACGAAAGUCUGACGGAGCAACGCCGCGUGAGCGAAGAAGGCCUUCGGGUCGUAAAGCUCUGUUGUUAGGGAAGAACAAGUAACGUAGUAACUGACGUUACUAUGACGGUACCUAACGAGAAAGCCACGGCUAACUACGUG
rnacentral:rRNA from 1 species